UGUCUUUAUAACUCAUCUAUUUAAACUGCAUUAAGGCUUAAAGUUUACAUCGUUAGGGGUGUGGCCUCUUUGACUGACAGGUUAUUGGAGUCCCUGAACUGGAUCUCUGGACCAUGUUUGUGCUUUUUCAGUGUUUUGGAGCGUUUUUAAUGUAAUUGUGACCAAUAAUGUGGCUGCUGUGACGUUAUUUUACUAACAAACCAUCCAAGAAGUCUGAGCUUCAGUUUUGAAGAACAACACGGUGAUGACCAUAAACUGCUGUUCCAAAAACCGGUGGCGUGCUGUGGUGGUCUGAGGGGUUGCUGUGUCUGCUCCUGCCAACCUCGUUGAUGGCGAUGACCCGGAAUCGGUAGGUGGAG